rnacentral:tRNA from 1 species
GUCUUUGUAGCGCAAUGGAUAGCACGUUGGACUUCUAAUCCAAAGGUCGUGGGUUCGAAUUCUACCUGGGAUG